rnacentral:rRNA from 1 species
GAUGAACGCUGGCGGCGUGCCUAAUACAUGCAAGUCGAGCGAACAGACGAGGAGCUUGCUCCUCUGACGUUAGCGGCGGACGGGUGAGUAACACGUGGAUAACCUACCUAUAAGACUGGGAUAACUUCGGGAAACCGGAUCUAAUACCGGAUAAUAUAUUGAACCGCAUUGUUCAAUAGUUAAAGACGGUUUUGCUGUCACUUAUAGAUGGAUCCGCGCCGCAUUAGCUAGUUGGUAAGGUAACGGCUUACCAAGGCGAGGAUGCGAAGCCGACCUGAGAGGGGGGUCCCACACCUGGGAUGUGAGAAAGGUCCCCAACUCUGAGAGGAGGACGCGGCCGGGACUCCUACGCAAGGGAGCAAUGGCGAACGGAGAACAGCGGGCGGAGGGCUGAAGCAUCAAGGCCGGGAAAGUUAUGAAAGUAGGAAAGAAGAAAUGUUUAAGUAACUAGGAAGGUAUUGACGGUACCUAAUCAAAAAGCCCCGGCUAACUCCGUG